CCUACGGGAGGCAGCAGUAGGGAAUCUUCCGCAAUGGACGAAAGUCUGACGGAGCAACGCCGCGUGAACGAUGAAGGCCUUCGGGUCGUAAAGUUCUGUUGUUAGGGAAGAACAAGUGCUAGUUAAAUAAGCUGGCACCUUGACGGUACCUAACCAGAAAGCCACGGCUAACUACGUGCCAGCAGCCGCGGUAAUACGUAGGUGGCAAGCGUUGUCCGGAAUUAUUGGGCGUAAAGCGCGCGCAGGCGGUUUCUUAAGUCUGAUGUGAAAGCCCCCGGCUCAACCGGGGAGGGUCAUUGGAAACUGGGAAACUUGAGUGCAGAAGAGGAAAGUGGAAUUCCAAGUGUAGCGGUGAAAUGCGUAGAGAUUUGGAGGAACACCAGUGGCGAAGGCGACUUUCUGGUCUGUAACUGACGCUGAGGCGCGAAAGCGUGGGGAGCAAACAGGAUUAGAUACCCUGGUAGUCCACGCUGUAAACGAUGAGUGCUAAGUGUUAGAGGGUUUCCGCCCUUUAGUGCUGAAGUUAACGCAUUAAGCACUCCGCCUGGGGANCGGUCGCAAGCUGAAACUCAAAGNAGCGCGNGNGAGAGCGACGACGACGACGACGGAGGAG
rnacentral:rRNA from 1 species